AUGGGGCCUGCUGCCGAGUCUCUGAUCCUCUCCGGGAGGAACAUGACGCUGGUCGCUCAGAAGCUCCAUCUUCAGCCGGACUGUCAGAGCCACCAGGAGGAGCUAGUGACCACAGCUCAGCGGAUCCUAGUGGCCACCACGAAGACUGGAGCUAUGGGGAGAAGCCACGGAAACCUCUACCACUGUCAUGCUAUUUGACAAACUGGCUCCAGAAUGAAAGCUCUGCUGCAUUGACCUCCAGCUCCAAGGAUCUCAUGGGGCCUGGAUAACCCCUCACCUUCAUUCUCCAUCUUCAAGUUCCAUCACACGGCACAACUCUUUUAGGGUGGGACGUUGCUCCUUGUUAACAUCUAUAUGCCUUAAAUAUUAUCAAAUAUUAAUACCGUUCACCAUUAAAACUUUAGUAGUGUGAGUUAUCGGGGUGGAUGUAUUUGUAAAUUAAGAGAUCC
rnacentral:lncRNA from 1 species